UUCUUCUUCUUCUUCUUCUUCUUCUUCUUCUUCUUCUUCUUCUUCUUCUUCUUCUUCUUCUUCUUCUUCUUCUUCUUCUUCUUCUUCUUCUUCUUCCUUCACCUAAUUUAAUCUAACCAAACUACUACUGCUACUACUACUACAAUUUUUCUCCUCCUCCUGCUCUUUUGUCUUACCUAACAUAACCAAACUACUACUACUACUACUACUACCUACAACUACUACUACUACAGCUCUGGAUAGUAUAUAUAUGUCUGGUGCAUGCUGAGGACAAGGCACACCUCCCAAGACUAUCCGGUGUGGCGUUAGUCAAGCCAUGGCAAAUAGUCUGGAGCCCUUGCCUUUGUACUAUUCCUGAUAGUCUUUGCUGUGGCUGCUGCUGCUGCUGCUGCCUACAUGUGGGUCAAAGGUUAGUAGUACACUAUCCCAGGCUGUUCUGCUGGGAUAGUAUGCCAUCUUGCACUAUUUUGGUAGAAGUUGACCAUUUUUAACUGUCUUGGCAGGAUAGUACAUGAUUUUGGACUAUUUUGCUAUGAUGGGAUGUUUUUUGUGGUGUUUUGUUCAAAAUAGUACACCAUUUUGUGAAGUCAUCCCCCUCCUAAAAAAAAUUUCAUACUAAAAAAACACCAAAAACACAAUUUUAGCCAUCACCCAUAAAAUAGUUUACUAUCUGACUAUCCAGAGGCACAGCAGACUCAGGUAGUCAAGGAUUUCACAGAGGAGGCCUUGAAACAUAAACCCCCAAAAAACACAAUUUUGAACUAUUUUGACUAUUAGCCCCAAAAUAGAACACCAUCUGACUAUCCAUAAAGUGAGGGACUAAAUUAUACAUCACAAAAAAUAUAGUCAUAUUUGAAGAGCAAAAAAACAUUGAUAGUAACAUUUUCAACACAAAACCACAAAGGAAACCCAUAGUUUUAACUAUUGACCAAAGCAGUGUACUAUCUGACUAUCCCCAGUCACAGCAGAGCCCCAGAGGAGCUAGCACAGACCAGUGUUGUUGUUGUUGUUGUUGUUGAUCCUGCUAUGGGUGGUGCUGAUGGAGCCCCAUGUGGAGCUGUCCCUGGCUGUCACCAUCACCACCUCCCUGCCACACUCUCUCUCUCUCUCUCUCAAAAGCCACAAGUUCCUUUAGUGCUCUGAACAUUUUUUGUUUUUGUAAAGGCAUUUUAAAGGUUGGAGCAAAGCCUUGAAUGAUGAGCACCUUUGUUGACCUGAGUGAGACCUCUGCUACAGCCCCACAUGACAGAAGAGACAACUAGUGGGCCGUGUGUGGUGAACCCGUUUUGUCUGUCAGAGCCACCCCUACAGCCACACACCACCACCACCACCACAACUAGCAGGAGAGGGCAUCCACCACCUCCUCCUCCAGCAGCUGGCCAGGGCACAGGACCAGGCUGAGCAAGCAGGUGGUGAUGCAGAGGGUGGCCAGCUUGCCCGCCCCCUCCUGUUGGCCAGCCACAGCACAGCACACAGCUGCAGUCUGUUGCGGCCAGGCUACUGAGGCACAAGUCUAUGCACGCGUCCGGGACAUGAAGGUGACGAGAACAUGUCCUGCAGGAGAGAGCCGCAUUGUGGCAGGACCCCACAGUCUGUUUCUGUGCUGGGAGGAGGAGGGGAACAGCAGCAGCAGCAGAAGCAGAAGCAGCAGCAGCAGCAGCAGCAGCAGCAGUAGUAGUAGUAGUAGUAGUAGUAGUAGUAGUAGUAGUAGUAGUAGUAGUAGUAGUAGUAGUAGUAGUAGUAGUAGUAGUAGUAGUAGUAGCAGCAGCAGCAGCAGCAUUGAGCAGUGGUGGUGGUGGUGGUGUCAGUGGUGCAGCUGUCCACUCCUCCACAGCUGCUGCCUUGCCUCAACAUGCUGUGUCUUCCCUCACCUGCAAUGAACAGCACUGAACAACACCUCUCCUAUGAUGAAUAACACUGAGUAUCACCUCUUCCCUGCAUCAACAACACUGAACAACACCUCUCCUGUGAUGAACAACAUUGAGUAACAUCUCACCCCUGCAUCAACAACACUCAACACCUGCUUCACUUCACACUCAUUCAUGCUAGCCUUACCCCCCCCCCCUCUCUCUCUCUCUCUCUCUCUCUCUCUCUCUCUCUCUCUCUCUCUCUCUCUCUCUCUCUCUCUCUUUCUCUUCUCUUCUCUUCUCAGCCCACAGCUCCACAGUAUGUUCUCCACAGUGACUCCCCACAGCCCCUCACCAAUAAGUGUCACACACACACACACACACACACACACACACACACACACACACACACACACACACACACACACACACACACACACACACACACACA